rnacentral:rRNA from 1 species
GUCCACGCCGUAAACUAUGGUCGCUAGCCGUCGGAUAGCAUGCUAUUCGGUGGCGCAGCUAACGCAUUAAGCGACCCGCCUGGGGAGUACGGCCGCAAGGUUAAAACUCAAAGGAAUUGACGGGGGCCCCGCACAAGCGGUGGAGCAUGUGGUUUAAUUCGACGCAACGCGAAGAACCUUACCUACCCUUGACAUGUCCGGACGACUUCCAGAGAUGGAUUUCUCCCAGCAAUGGGCCGGAACACAGGUGCUGCAUGGCUGUCGU